UUAGAGUGUCCGGGCCGUGGUGUUCGGGAAGACCGGUGACGACCGUAAGGUCCAGGCCGGAGCGGCCCUCGCCACUGUGAUCGGGAAGUUCCCGCCCCUGUCCGUACGCGCCCUUCGCCGUACGGAGCCACUGGCCGCAGCCCGCGGCCGGGAAGGUUGGGGCGGGCGCGCACACCCGUCAGCCAGGAGACCGGCCACGGCAUCUCACGAACU
rnacentral:ncRNA from 2 species